GACGAACGCUGGCGGCGUGCUUAACACAUGCAAGUCGAACGGAAAGGCCCUGCUUUUGUGGGGUGCUCGAGUGGCGAACGGGUGAGUAAAACGUGAGUAACCUGCCCUUGACUUUGGGAUAACUUCAGGAAAAUGGGGCUAAUACCGGAUAGGAGCUCCUGCUGCAUGGUGGGGGUUGGAAAGUUUCGGCGGUUGGGGAUGGACUCGCGGGUUAUCAGCUUGUUGGUGGGGUAGUGGCUUACCAAGGUUUUGACGGGUAGCCGGCCUGAGAGGGUGACCGGCCACAUUGGGACUGAGAUACGGCCCAGACUCCUACGGGAGGCAGCAGUGGAGAAUAUUGCACAAUGGGCGGAAGCCUGAUGCAGCAACGCCGCGUGCGGGAUGACGGCCUUCGGGUUGUAAACCGCUGUCGCCUGUGACGAAGCGUGAGUGACGGUAAUGGGUAAAGAAGCACCGGCUAACUACGUG
rnacentral:rRNA from 1 species